GAUUAACGCUAGCGGAAGGCAUAAUACAUGCAAGUCGAACGGGAUAGAGCUUAGCAAUAGGUUCUUGAGAGUGGCGCACGGGUGCGUAACACGUAUGCAACCUGCCUUUAACUGGGGAAUAGCCUCUCGAAAGAGAGAUUAAUACUCCAUAACAUAGUUGAUAAGCAUUUAUUGGCUAUUAAAGAUUUAUCGGUUAAAGAUGGGCAUGCGGCUGAUUAGGUAGUUGGUGAGGUAAUGGCUCACCAAGCCGACGAUCAGUAGGGGGUCUGAGAGGAUGUCCCCCCACACUGGUACUGAGACACGGACCAGACUCCUACGGGAGGCAGCAGUAGGGAAUAUUGGACAAUGGGGGCAACCCUGAUCCAGCCAUUCCGCGUGCAGGAAUAAGGCCCUAUGGGUCGUAAACUGCUUUUGUAUGGGAAAAAAUCACCUUACGUGUAAGGUGUUGAUGGUACCAUGAGAAUAAGGAUCGGCUAACUUCGUGCCAGCCGCCGCGGUAACAC
rnacentral:rRNA from 1 species